rnacentral:rRNA from 1 species
ACACUGGGAUUGCCCUAGUAACGGCGAGUGAAGCGGCAACAGCUCAAAUUUGAAAUCUGGCCCCCCUCGCGGGGGGUCCGAGUUGUAAUUUGCAGAGGGUGCUUUGGCUUUGGUUGCGGUCUAAGUUCCUUGGAACAGGACAUCGCAGAGGGUGAGAAUCCCGUACGUGAUCGCGCACCAUCGCCGUGUAAAGCCCCUUCGACGAGUCGAGUUGUUUGGGAAUGCAGCUCUAAAUGGGAGGUAAAUUCCUUCUAAGGCUAAAUACCGGCCAGAGACCGAUAGCGCACAAGUAGAGUGAUCGAAAGAUGAAAAGCACUUUGGAAAGAGAGUCAAAAAGCACGUGAAAUUGUUGAAAGGGAAGCGCUUGCAGCCAGACUUGCCCGCAGUUGCUCACCCAGGCUCCGGCCCGGGGCACUCUUCUGCGGGCAGGCCAGCAUCAGCUCGGGCGGUCGGACAAAGGCCUCUGUCAUGUAUCUUCCUUCGGGAUGACCUUAUAGGGGAGGCGCAACACGGCCAGCCCGGGCUGAGGACCGCGCAUCUGCUAGGAUGCUGGCGUAAUGGCCGCAAGCGGCCCGUCUUGAAACACGGACCAAGGAGUCUAACAUCUGUGCGAGUGUUUGGGUGUCAAGCCCGGGCGCGCAAUGAAAGUGAACGGAGGUGGGAACCCUCUCCGGGGGGCGCACCAUCGACCGAUCCUGAUGUCUUCGGAUGGAUUUGAGUAAGAGCACGGCUGUUGGGACCCGAAAGAUGGUGAACUAUGCUUGAAUAGGGUGAAGCCAGAGGAAACUCUGGUGGAGGCUCGCAGCGGUUCUGACGUGCAAAUCGAUCGUCAAAUUUGGGCAUAGGGGCGAAAGACUAAUCGAACUAUCUAGUAGCUGGUUCCUGCCGAAGUCUCCCCCUCAAGAAACGCCNCACNCGNCCUCUCCGCGCGUGCGAUGACCGCGUUCGCCCCGGUGCCCAACUUUGAACAAUGGAUUUGCCCGUUCAAACCGCUGCGAGCCUCCAACGAAGUUUCCUCUGGG